GUAAGUGAAUUUAUAUUACAAUAGAAGUUUGUCAAAUACAUCUCAGUUGAGCAGAAAAUCUUCAGGCGAACAUCGACAUCAAAGUGAUACCAUACGGAUACCAAAAAAAUCCUAUGCAACCAAAGCAGAUAAUGACCACAGAUGUGCAACAGAGACUACCAGUACCUGAUCAUCAUAUGUCAUGGUGUAGAUCUCAGGAACAGGACACCUACAUGUUGUCCAAUGCAGAAGGUUUGAUACCCAGGCUUCUUUCUAUCCACUCUCAUCUUGAGAACUCUUGAGAUCUCUACAUCAGCACGCUACAUCACAAUGGGAAAUACAAGAGAGCCAGCAGUGUGACUGAG